rnacentral:rRNA from 1 species
UGGGGAUUUUUCCGCAAUGGGCGAAAGCCUGACGGAGCAAUGCCGCGUGAAGGAUGACGGCCUAUGGGUUGUAAACUUCUUUUCUCAGAGAAGAAUUUUUGACGGUAUUUGAGGAAUAAGCAUCGGCUAACUCUGUGCCAGCAGCCGCGGUAAGACAGAGGAUGCAAGCGUUAUCCGGAAUGAUUGGGCGUAAAGCGUCUGUAGGUGGCUUAAAAAGUCUCCUGUCAAAGAUCAGGGCUUAACCCUGGGCCGGCAGGAGAAACUCUUAGGCUAGAGUUUGGUAGGGGCAGAGGGAAUUCCCGGUGGAGCGGUGAAAUGCGUAGAGAUCGGGAGGAACACCAAAGGCGAAGGCACUCUGCUGGCCAGAACGACACUAGAACAAGCAGUUC